UGUAGUUGUAGAUUCUAUGGGAAGCUUUUCGAUCUCUUUCUUUUUCAAUGACGUGCAGGUGGUCAACAACCGUCUCAAGGAUAAUUAUUUAAUGGUUAAUAGCAUCAGGCUUUUUCGGGGGAGAAUUGUGUGUAUAUUGCAGUGCUUUCGGUGGUGCAAGUUGGAUAUAUACUUGGAGUGGUGGACUUUGUCUCAACGUGCGUUGGUUUCUAUUAUUUUAAGAAAAGGAAAAGGACGACACAUAUUUUGUGAAGGGAAUUGAUUUGGAACUGGCUCUCCCAGCCAGCUGAGCUUUGAAGUUUCUUCUUAGAAAUUUCCUUGCUUGAGCAGUUUUUGUUUCGAUUAAAAUAAUCCAUGGCAUCUGAUGCUGAACUGAUGAAGCACUAUGGCCUUGCCGCUGUAGCUAGAUGCUUGGCCUGCCAGUGUGUGUGGCACAAUGCAACCUUGCUUCCACCCACCACCCUGAAAGGGAGAAAGAAUGAUUCCAUGUUUGCUUAUGCCCACUUUCUUUUCUUACAUUCUGACUAUGUUAGUUGACCGUUUUCUUCAUGGACAGAUAAAAGUCUUCAUCUGAUAAAAUUUGAGAAUCUAACAAUAUUUUAGAGCCUAUGGAACAAUCACCUACGGUUGUAGGUGUAAUAUUGUCCUUCCUGCUUA